GACAAAUGUGAUUCUGUACACUAUUCUUAGCGAGUUUUGCCGUUAUUAGUAACGAAAAGUGUCGUUAUGAUGUCGUUACGGUGGGAGCGGAUAGCGAGGCUCAGAGACCCCCUCGGUACGCUAUAACGACCAUUAUAACGAUACUUUGCACACGAGCUAGAGGAGUGGUGUGCGUUUCCCAUAUUUUUCUCGACUCCGAGAAAGUGCUUCGAAAAGUGCUCCGAAAGUGAAAAAUAAUUACGCCGUUCGAAAUAACAAGUAAGAUCAUGGCUAUCGAAUACCUUGCUUGGGAUGUAUUCGUUCUUAAGGAAAGAUUACGUCGACUCGAACGUCGUGUGGAAAGAAGGCGACUGAGAGAUGCUUAGAAUCCUUUUCAGCUACCACGAGAAGAGUUUCUCAGCCUUUUUCGCCUGCCUCAAGAAGCUGUGAUGAAUCUCGUUAAUCUGUUACGUGCAGAGUUGCAGAGUGAACGGGUUAUUGGGUUAAGCCCAGAAAUCAAGGUGUUGGUCGCCAUUCGAUUUUACGCUCAAGGUUGUUAUCAAUGGAGUGUCGGAACCAACAACAAUUUAACAUCAGCCAGUCAUCAACAAGUCGUUGCCUGCAUGCUGUUACCGAAGCAAUCAACAGGCGCUUGCUUCGUAGAUGGGUAAAAUUUCCAAUGACUGCCAUCGAUCAGCAGCAAGGAAGGGAAAAGUUUGCUACUGCUCCAUAGCCAUUUGAGGGUGCAAUAGGCGCAAUCGACUGUACGUUUGUACACAUACUUGCCCCAUCGGAACAUGAGGAGGCAUUCGUCAAUCAUCAUGGCCGGCAUUCUUUGAACGUGCAAGCAAUUGUUGAUCCAGAUCUCACAAUAUUGAACAUAAAUCCACGACAUCCAGGUGCUCGAAAUGAUGCGUACAUAUGGAGCACAUCACCUAUCCGGAGGGCUAUGGAAUUCCAUUAUAAUCGAGGAGAACGAAGAACUUGGCCAAUUGGUGACGCUGGAUAUCCGUUGGAGCCUUGGCUAUUAACACCUCUGGCCAAUUUUCCUGAAGAUACGCGACAACAUUAAUAUACACAACAACUAUGUAAGGCUAGAAGCGUCGUCGUGCGGUUUUUUGGAGUUUUUAAAUCUGUAUGGAGAUGCUUGUCAUACCAGCGAGUCUUGAUGUACGAACCAGCGUUCGCAGCGAAAAUUGUUAAUGCGUGUGCAGUACGGCACAACAUGAGAGUGCAACUACGAUUAAACAAUGAAGAUGACGAACAACUAGCACCGAUAGCUCAUCCCGUAGAGAAUGAUGUUGAUCCGAUGGAUCAAGAUGAAGAAUACAACAGACAAGGACCACGCGCUUUGGCUCAACGAAUUCAACAACAAAUUAUGAGAGAAAGAUUUCCCAACUUCCGUGAUGCGGAAAAAUAGAAUACAGAAUAUGGAAUGAUGUUUAUGGUUAAAUUACCAACAAGUAUAAUGUUUAAAGGUGAUGAGAGAAAUUAACGACAACAGAGUCAGGGCGGUGUUACGCCCUGACAUACCGCCUUGGCGU